rnacentral:rRNA from 1 species
CAGUCGCCGCGGUAAUGCGCAGGUCCCGAGCGUUGUCCGGAUUUAUUGGGCGUAAAGCGAGCGCAGGCGGUUAGAUAAGUCUGAAGUUAAAGGCUGUGGCUUAACCAUAGUACGCUUUGGAAACUGUUUAACUUGAGUGCAGAAGGGGAGAGUGGAAUUCCAUGUGUAGCGGUGAAAUGCGUAGAUAUAUGGAGGAACACCGGUGGCGAAAGCGGCUCUCUGGUCUGUAACUGACGCUGAGGCUCGAAAGCGUGGGGAGCAAACAGGAUUAGAUACCCCAGUAGUCCCUGUCUCUUAUACA